rnacentral:rRNA from 1 species
UACCAGCACCCCGAGUGGUCGGGACGAUUAUUGGGCCUAAAGCAUCCGUAGCCGGUUCUGCAAGUCCCCCGUUAAAUCCAGCUGCUCAACAGAUGGGCCGCGGAGGAUACUCCAGAGCUAGGAGGCAGGAGAGGCAAGCGGUACUCAGUGGGUAGGGGUAAAAUCCGUUGAUAAUAGAAGGAAGAUCAAAGGCGAAGGCAAUUAUCUAGGUAUAUACUGACACUGAGAAACGAAAGCUUGGGUAGCGAACGGG